rnacentral:rRNA from 1 species
UACGUAGGUGGCAAGCGUUGUCCGGAUUUAUUGGGUUUAAAGGGUGCGUAGGCGGUUCUCUAAGUCAGUUGUGAAAUACUUCAGCUUAACUUGAGAGGUGCAAUUGAUACUGGAGAACUUGAGUACUGAUGAGGUAGGCGGAAUGGACGGUGUAGCGGUGAAAUGCUUAGAUAUCGUCCAGAACACCGAUAGCGAAGGCAGCUUACUAAGGAGUAACUGACGCUGAGGCACGAAAGUGUGGGGAUCAAACAGG